CAGCCGCCGCGGUAAUACGAAGGGCGCAAGCGUUACUCGGAAUUACUGGGCGUAAAGCGUGCGUAGGUGGUGGUUUAAGUCCGUUGUGAAAGCCCUGGGCUCAACCUGGGAAUUGCAGUGGAUACUGGGUCACUAGAGUGUGGUAGAGGAUAGUGGAAUUUCCGGUGUAGCAGUGAAAUGCGUAGAGAUCGGAAGGAACAUCUGUGGCGAAGGCGACUAUCUGGGCCAACACUGACACUGAGGCACGAAAGCGUGGGGAGCAAACAGGAUUAGAUACCCCAGUAGUCCCUGUCUCUUAUAC
rnacentral:rRNA from 1 species